AGCCCAGAUAGUGUCCUGUGUUGCUUUCCCAACCCUUUGAAGGGCUCAGCAGAACAAAGGGUCCCUGUUUACUAGUCACCGCCCUCCCGAAAAGGCGGUCAGGGCUGGAGCUGACCAUUUUCCCCGGUGCGUGCCAUCCGUGGUGAUUAUUCCGAUGUUAAUUAUUCACUCGGGCAGCCACGGAAGAGAGGCGAAAAGCAAACAAUGCGAUUAAGAAAGACCCUGUGUCAUCAGCACGCAAGCCACCUUCUCCCCAGCACGUCCAGUCCGGAGGCUCGGCACACGUCCACCUCCCACCCCCGCCCCUGUGGCCUUUCCUGCAUUCCUUCCCUUAUGCCCGUCCUCGGUGUUCGUUUUUAUCCAGGCUCCUCCACCAAACAAUGCCUCAGACACACGGGAACUAACACAGCAUGGGGACGCCAGCUGCACCCGUUCUGACAAACACAGAAGUAGGAUGCUAACCAGGAUGUCAACCAUUUGACCACACUUGGCAGCUGCGAGAGCUAUUCAAGAAAGGCCCCUACCCUUUCACCUGGGACUUGUCACACAGAAAUCAUUCCUGAAAGGGAGGCUGUCACGUGCAUGCGCAUUAAUAGUCCGACUAGCGCCAACCAGUAACCGCAAACCCAAAUGCCAGGGGGGUGGAGGCAAACGCACAGCGCCUCGAAGCACCGUAUGGGGAUGCAGCCGCGCAAAGGGUGGGGAGCUUAUGCGGCCACAUCCAAAGUGCUUGCAAUUCGAUGCUCGGUGUAUGAGGCAGAACACCAGACUGCCCCCCUGAAACCUCCCCAGACCCCGCGCAGCCUGCCUCAACCAAGUUCUGCUCUUUCCUGCCUGUUUUCCCGGCCGGGCCAGUUCAGGCCUCGUCGCUGCCAGAACACACGCCAUGUUGGUGCACAGCCGCUCAUGCCCCCUGCCCUCCGCUGGCCCUGGGUGCCACUUCGGGCAGACAGGCUCUCUACUGGAUCUGGCUCAGCACGGCUUACUGAGUGCUCACUGAACGAAAGAAUCAGCGACAAUCAUCUCGGCUCCUGUUUAUUGAGCACCUACUACGUGGCAGGCGCUGUGAUCGGCAUUUCCCACGCAUUGUUCCACUUCUUUUUCUGAAAUAAUCUUACACAGUUAACACUAUUACCAUCCUCUUUGUACAGAUGAGAAACUGGAGCUCAGAGAAGGGGUCACCUACCCAAGACCCUGCAUCUGGGCCCAGGGGACAUUCCGUUCCAGAGAGAUGUCAUGUGCAAGACCUGGGCCUGCGACUCGUGCCAGGACCAGAGAGAGUGUGUUGCAAUGAGGCGUGCGACUGAGCAAGCCCAGCCCACCUGGGUGCCAGUGUGCUCACCACUCCACACUGCUCUCCCUUUCUUUGCUGGAAGCUGAACAGAUGAUGUUUCAGGGUGCAUCUCAUCAUAGGGGGGCGGUGCCGGGACACAUGGACGACGGGAGAAUAUGCUGUGGCCACCGUAUCCACGGAAGCCCUAAGAUUACAAAGCCGAUGUUAUCUCUAACCGAGUGGAGUUGCUAGAAGUCGAAGAAGAUAUUCACCACACUGUUUUAAGCUUGCGUCUCAUCACUGUACCACUCCGCCUGUGUGUUAUGAGUUAAUGUUUUAAUAAAUCCUGUAAUUAUCGUGUGAAUAGCAUAA